UAGGUGAUCAUAUGGUGUCUGUGUUUCAUUCCAUGGAUGUGAUGAAUCAUGCUUAUUGAUUUGCAUAUGUGGAAUCAUCCUUACAUCCCUGAGUUUCACCUCUCCCUCAGUGUUCUUAUUGAUAAAAUGGGGAUGAAAAUACUACCGAACUACCAACUUCAUGACGUCACUGUGAAGAUGAAAUGAAGAAAGCAGUUAGAAUAGCCUGACACGUAAUAAAUGGUUGUCAAUGAAAAACUUGUUGGCACAGAUGAAAUAAUUCCCUCAGGACACAGAAAUCUGGAAAUUAUUCCUCUUCUCUCUUCACAUCUUCUUCCCCUGCCUCCCGCUAAGGAACAAUAAUUCUCUGCAGCUGGUCAUGAAAAUUCAGUUCUAGAAUUUACAAAGUAUCUUUAAUUUUAGACACACAUGUCUUGUUUUGUAACGAAAUUUUACAAUAGAGUAAUUGGCAUUUAGAUUGUAAACUGCUGUUUGUCACAUUUAAUUGAUGUUUUGGUUGCUUCCACAUUGUGGGGGAGUGAGGGUGAUGUUAUGGUGCUCUUGGGUGUUUUGAGUGUUCCCUAAAGCUAUCCAAAAAUGGGGCUAGUGAAAGCUAUUUUUGGAGGUGCUGAAAUAAUUUCAGUGGGAAAGUGGUCCAGGCCUCAGAUGUUGAAGAAAUUCCUGAAAUGCCGUUCACUGACUUGACCACUUCUCCCCAGGCUGAACAUGAACUGAAAUAAGAGGCCACCUGGUGCGUUCGAUUCUUGUAUGCGUGUCAGUGCUCAAAUUGCUCCAGAUGAUCUGAGGGGCUGUGAAAGCGGGCUAUUAUUUAUUUAUUUUAGUGCUUCCAAUUUCUCUAUGAGAACAAGGACUGACCUGGUGGCAAGAGAGAGGUUAUAGUGUUGCGUAUUGCUUAUCGGUGCAGUUUCCCUACUUGAGACCCUCAGUUCAGUCUCUUUUCUAGCGAUGCCCAGUUGUUACAUCUCCUCGCCAGGUCUCUGCCCUGAGUCGGUGUGUCUGACUGCCUAUGCCAUAACUUCACUUGGACGUCACAUAGAAGCUCUGAGUUCACCUGUACAAAGCAGAACAACUGAUUUCUCCCAACACUCAUGCCAAUGUUUCCAGUGAAACUCACAUCACAUGUAGAAUCCUCGUGCUUCCUUCACUUAACAUUGAGGUUGUUGCCCCACUGCUGGGAUGGGAGGGUCAUUGCUGUGGCACUUUGGGGUGAACUUUUACUUUUUGUAGUGCUUCCAAUUUCUCUGUGACAAUAAGGACUGACUUGGUAAGGACAGGGAAUGACAUAUUAAUAACAUGUCAUUGAUUAGCCAAUGCUAUCAAUGUCACCUUCACAAUGUAGCAGAAAUUCAUUCACUUCUUGCCAUUUCCACUGCUUUUACCUUAUUCCAGAACAUCACCAUCCAACGCCUCAUACCCAGCUUAGUCUCUUUGUGUCUGUUUGAUUACCCAGCAUCCCGUUCUCCACACAGCUAUCAGAAUUAUGCAUAGCUUUGAUCAGAGUUGAGAAAAGGCUAUGGGACCUGACCCAGUUACUGUUUAGACUAUUGAUCC